UGAACCCGAGCAGGAAAGGUGAUUUGGGUGUUGUAACCAUGUAACCUCCUCAAGAGACAAUCAUAGAAGUAGGUGACAAACAGUAACUUCAAAACUGAAAGAAAAACAUUAUCCAGUUUCUUUGCAAAUUAAUACAAUGUGCUUCACUUUAAAGCUUCUUAGUGCUUCUAAAAGGUAUACUGUAUAUCUGGGACUUUUAAAAAUCAGAUAUGAAAGAGCACCAUAGUGCUACACUGAAGUUGAAUUCUUUGGGAACAUUACAAGGUUAAGAGCCUGCUGGCCAAUGUGACAAGACUGCUCUGUAGGUUUAAGGGUUGUGUUUUACAAUCAGAGUCCUAUUCAGACUAAGUGCAAGAAAAUAAUUAGCAUAGUCAUCAAAUUUUGACAGCUUGAAUUGGUAAGAUUUCCUUUAAUUACUUUGAUUUUUCAGUAUCUUAAAGGAGCAGACACUGAUACUGAGCAGAGUAUUUAAAGAGAGAGAAAUGAAGGAUGCAAAUAAAUGGCAUAGAGGCACAGGCCCUUUGGAAGAAAGCUGGUAGCAGGACAGAGGUGCCUGAAGUUGGUUUCUUAAAGAGCUGCCUGGAAUCAAGAGCUGUGGAGGAAAGUCAGAUUGACUCCUGCCAGCAAGAAGGCUGGGUGCCCCAGGCAGCGUGUGACAGUGUCUCCUGUGCUGGCCUUACCUCCAGGAGCUGCUUUGAGAAGAGUGCUGGCUGCCUUCUCCAUACCGCCACUGGUCUGGUGAGAUUGCUCUCAUUCCUCAUGGAACUCAACCAUGAGUUAAUACUCAACCUGCCCUCACCCCCUUUUAGUUUUGUGUUCUGUGUGACUGAGUUUUGCUGAGUGGCUGGGAAAUCUGAUGAGGAAGAGCUCUCCUCGCUGUGCCUUCACACUGCUUUGGGAUGCUGACAGUACCUCUGUCUCUAUGAGCCACUGCUGGGCAGCUUCAAGGGAUGUGCUGAUGCUGCUGUAGAGAAAUUACCGAGCCGUAACUGUGAAGUGGCUCUCUGUGAGGAGGCCAGUGACCUGUGAUUAUACACAGAAACUGAAUUUCAGCAGUUUUAUCCUCAAUUUCUUUAACCAGGACUCCAUUUUUAAGCAAUAGUGAUGUCAACGUUACACUGAAUUACAAAUGUUGAUUCAGAGAAUAACAGCUCUGUGACUGACAGAGCACAAAAACUCACUUUUUUUCCUGGGGCAGGGAAGAAGACAGUACAUUACCAGUGAUAAAUUGCUUGGCUAAGCAAAACCCUUGAGAAAAUUUGGAAGAAAAUGCUAUUAAUUUUGUUGCAGGUAUCUGCUACUGCAGGAUGGGUGAAAACUACUUAGUUGCCUUUGGAUGAUUACUAAUUGUGUAACUUACUUUUGCAUAGCACGAUGAGAUUCAUCACUUAAAGCAAAUGGUUAUCUUCUAGAAGUAGUUAUCUUCUAGAAGUUAUCUUCUCAAUACGGGCUUUUCAAAGGCAGGUGUCAAGCUGUGGCAGUCUCUUGGAACUCUUGCAUAAGAGAGUUGAGUUUCUGAAUCCAGGACUGGCUUUACCUCCUUUUCCAGUACCCGACCCUGAUAGCGUUACAUGGGAGAGCCAAUGGGAUCUGCUGUCCUCAGUGCUUAGUGUUCCCAGAAGGCCCUGUGGAGGGAGAAGCCCUUCAGCUGCUGCUGUUGAGGCUGGCAGUACUUCUGUAACCCUGUUAAAGGAAGUUGCAUUCUGAAAGAGUAUUUUUAUCUUAACCGUUUUGAACAUCUGUGCAAGCUGCCAAGAUGUCACGAACGAACUGCUGCACUGCCUGCUACUUGUCAUGCAUCGCUUUGUUAGAAGAAAAUCUCAAUUGCAGCUCAAUGACGAGAUCACACUUUGCUUUGUUUGUACCUUAUGCUGUAUCAGGGAUUCAGGCAGCAAGAGCACCCUUGAGCCCCACACCGGAUGGGAAGGACUUCCAGGAAGAAACCUUGAAGCUGGUUGAUGAUGAAAACUAAAUGAAACGGUGACAAAGAUACAGAUAGAACUUUGGGAGUCUGCUAAGUCAGCCCAGAAAACCAUGCAAGCUUAUCUGAAGGAGUAAUCUGCUCCUUAACCUUAUCUGUCCUGUAGGCACCGACCCCCUUUGCACACGCUCCCACUGCAGCACUCCCCAAGCUCUGGCCUCAGCAGUUUGUGGGGAAAAGACAAGAUAAACUGAUCCACUGUCAAUAUCUAAAAUGGGUGUUUGCCUGAAAAGACAGGAGGGAGCUGACUCGUUUAUUUGAUGGAUCAUUUUCUUCAAAGCUUGCUGAUGACAAUUUAAAGAUAAAUAUAUUUGACUUCACUUGUUUAUCAUCGUUUUGCUCUGUGAUUUUGGGCAGAGCUUAAGCUGCAGAACAAUGUCCCAGUUCUACUCACCUAACCACAAGCCAGCUGCCUUCCUUCUCAUCUCAGGUAAAGCCCAGUUCUGUGUCACCAUCUCAGAGAGGCCUGUGGUUCUACAAAGCUGAGCAGCUGAGAGCUGCUGUGUGCUGCAUGCUCCUGGGAGCAGAGCAGCCCUGUGUUCACAGUACUGUGGGGUCUCUGCGCAGGUUUUACUGUCCCAACUCAAGGUGCCUCCUCACUCAGGGCUAGCUGCUGCUGUUAGGCCCACCUAACCUCAUGGCAGCCAUCGUCUGCUUCUCACUCCAUCUUUUUGUUGUUGGACAGUCUGUUGUCUCCUGCCUCUCCAUGUACACGUGCCUCUUCUGCAGGUCUUGUCACCAAUGCUGCCAUGGCGCCCAACUCACAAAGCACUGCCUGCCCCGUGGUCCCUUUGCUUGAGUGGAAGGCUUGCUUCUGACUCCUGGAGCCUCCUAGUAGAUCCUGCCCUUGGCUCAGUGGAGGGCUGGAGUGGUAAUGCUCACUGUCAGAUCUGUAAGGCUGAAGUCAUGCCUGCAGUGAAAGCAGCUCCUCUUAACCAGGAGAAGGGCUUUUCGUUAUUUCCUCCCAAUAUUUAGUUUGGCUUUUACACAGUUUAAUGAUGAAAGCUUUAAAAUGUGGCUAUGGGGUUAUUAUCUCAAAGAAGGAGAACUAGCAGCAAGAACCCCCUCACCUCAAAUAUGGGAACGAGAGCAAGGCCCUGGCAAGCGAGUGGCACAGGCGGACAGCUGAGGGAAGAAAUGGCAGGAAGGCAUUUGUGCCAUUAAAGCUUGAUAUGAAUUAAAACUUGCUGGAGUUUUAAUUCAUAUCUAGAACCAAGAGUGAAGCAAAGUGGAAAGUGACAAAGCUGUGAGCUGUGACUCCACACGCCUCUGUGGGUCUGAGAGCACACUGGGAAGAAAUGGAAUCCAAGAAAAUUCAGAGCUGAGUAGGGUGGAAAAGACUGGUGAAAAGCAGGAGCAAAAAGGGUGAUUUAUGUGAACCACAAAAGGAAGAAGUUAUUCACAGAACAGGGAAAGGCCUAAGGAGCUACUGAUGUGAAAUCUCUCUCUAUGAGUUAAGGGAAAGUAACCCAUUUCUUGGUCUUUAUUUUAGUUUCUUAUGUAAUAGCUCAUCUCCAAAAGGUUUCAGAGCAGAUUUCCCUAGAGUGACUGAGUCAGUUUCAGAAACUGGAGAAAGAAAAUUGGACUGGGAAGACUGCUUUUUGUCCCUGUCCCCAGCAAGACAGAUAAAAAUAUGGCUGUAGCUUAUUUAAUACAGGUGAUCAAGGUCACCACCUCUCCUUGCAAUUAAUCCAGUGCACCAAUUCUGUUGUUUUUUUCCCUCUUCUUUUUGUUCCAACACUUAUAAGCAAAUCUUCAGAAAAGAUAAAAGGAAUGGUCAAGGGAUGUGCUUUUUAUUUAUUUAUUUUUAAAAAUAGAGAAGAGGAAACAGAAUUGCAGAGCAAUUUCCUAUUCUGUUGCUCUCAAAGAAAAGGGAGCAACAUGAGCACGAGUCUCCUGCCUGGAGGAAUGAAUCAGCCAUCUGGCAGCCUGAGGGUGUUCUGAUCUGCCUGUGGAGCUCUGGCCAUUAAUCAGACACGGAACUGGUUCACUGUCUGCCCCUUCCUAGCGCUGUUUCUUAAAUGGGUGACUGAUCAAGAGCUCUCUUUGGAUCCAGUGUUGUAACAAUCCCUGUUGUAAAAGCCAUUGUUAAAUCAUCUCUGAAUUGGGCUCACUAUCCGUAAUGGUGGACUUUGAAGUCUUAAGAGUGACUGUUGUAAGAAAGGUGAUGUCGUCCCAUAAAGUUCUUUCUCCUCCCAUCUUUCUCACAGCUCUUCUGUCAGAUGCAAACCCUUUCUAGUGAGGUGAGAGCUGUAAAAUGUCUCUAUUUCCUUAUGCUUGGAUGGCGGAUUUCGGAAUUGUUAUUUUAUUGGAGAACAUGCUGGAAUGCUGAAGUUCUACACAGACCCUUCAGGAUGUUCUUUGGUUCCUUCACAGGUUUUGAAAAUGGGUCAAAACACAUCUGGAACUGUCCUUAGAAAAGAGUAGUUAUGUAGCAAGAAGGGCUUUUCAACACAUCUCCCCUGUUGCUAUAGGUGUUGGAAGGCUUGGGCUCAGGAGAAUGAUUUUCUUUUUGGGGAAAAAAAAGCAGAAUGCAGAGCCUUUGAGGAGCCUUUUUUGUCUUUUGUCUUUCACAACAAAUGUCGUGGUUCAGAACUUGUUCCGCUAUUCUGUCUCCUGUACUCCUGUACACAGCUUGAGAUUGUUGUGGUUGCUUUUCAGGUGUGUGUCAUAUAAACUGUUUUCUGUUUGCUUUCUUAUCUCAGCGUGGCUCUGCAGGACGAAUUCUUCCUGGGUGCAGCUGGGCGAAGAAAAACCCGAUCUUCUGUCCUCCAGAACAGACAGGCACUUUCAGGGCCUUGAGGAGCUCCUGCACCUCCAGUUGUGCUGACUGAAUUGUUUGUGUGGUUGUACUCUAAAUAGCAUCUGAGAAAUGAUCUGGUUUGCAGAAGGAGGAAAAAAAAAAAGAAAAGAAACCAACC